rnacentral:lncRNA from 1 species
UACUUGGUUAAUAUAUGGCUUUUUAUAGUUAAUCUGUAGAUCUUGUACUUCAGUACCUAAGUACAGACUUAACCUUAGCAAACUGACAUCGCCUAUAUUCCAAGCCAAGACUUUUAAGGGCUAAAGAGUUCAUCUCAGUGGCAGAGCACUCGCCUAACUUGUAUACCUCCUGGGUUCAAUUCCUGGCACCAAAUAUACAAAACAGCUGCCUCCCACCAAACCACAGCUAGCUAGGCACUGCGGCCUAUAAGGACACAGAAAAUCAGGUAUUACCCAGGGCAAUUACUGAGGUCAUAAACUGCCUUCAUGGCUAGCAGUACCUCCAGUUCUAUGCAUACUGAACCUCAUGGCUUUGCAGCUUCCCUGUACCAUCUGUCCUGAGUGCAGUUUACUAGUUACCUUGUCCCUUUCUCUCACCCAAUACAGCCAUGCCCAGAUUCUGGGGGCUUUUUAUGCCGUUCCAAAGCAUGUUUUAUAGCCCAAAGGUCCUGCAGGUCACCAAAGACUAUUCCAGUCCUUGGCGGGCUCUGGUUACAAAACUCCAAACUACCUCCUUAUGGAGGAGGGAAAAGUACUUUUGUUUUUAAGAAUCAAACCUAUAGGCAGGUUAAGUUAGUUUAAAAUUUUAUUUUUUUAUUUUUUUUAAAUUUUUUAUGUAAUAAAAAGUAAAAGUCCUUGAGGCAUCUGUCUGUCGGUCUCUCACACAGGACACUCAAGUUAAUGGAGAAGAACAGGGGGCCCAAGUCUGAGGUUAUAAAUAAUAGAAAAUAAAAGAUCUUCCGUCUCCAGCGGGGUGGGGAAUAGAUGAGAGGAUGGGAGGACAAGACUGGGUGGGACCCAGCAGGGACAGAGCAGGAACCUCCCCCACCCCCGCUGGACCCCAGCCCGGCCCACUUGAAGGACCCCUCCCGUUCAAGGUGCUUGGCAGGAAUUCCCCAACUCCCCAAGGGAAAGGGGUUGGGGGCGGGGCUAGGACUGGUCCCAGCUGCUGGGGGAAGAGACAUAGAUCACUCUUCCCUCCACUCAUGGAGGUCUCAGGUCGCGGCCAGGACAAUCUUCAGUUCCCCGGGGGGUGGAAGGGGAGCUGCUGGGAGGGAUGAGAUUGAACUGGUUGGAGGGGAAAGAGAGAGAGCAGGAGCAUUAGAACCCGAGCAGCUGUCCCUCUGUCAAUGCGUCCAGGGGGUGUGGGGGUGUGGGGAGGAGCGGCCUCCUCGAGGAGUCUCAGGGGGCUGUCAGAAGCACAGGUCAAUCGCUGUUUCCCAGUAGGCCAGAGCCCUUACUCAGUUGCCCAGCUCAGCCCCCCACGCCCCAGUCUGGCCCUGUCUGCUGCGCUGACCUUACCUCGGCUAAGUCAGGAGACAGUCGGGGUCACUGAGAGCUGGGGAGGCAGUGGGGAGGGGGGCUGCUGGAUCACAACUGAGCGAGGACGGAGGGAAGCAAAGGACAGAGCCAGGAGCAAGCCCCUGGCGGCGGCGACUGUGGCUUCUGCCCACCCUACAUACUUCACAGACAGGUGUGGGUCGGCGGGCGCCCUC